AAAUUAGUUAAUUUAAAUGUUCAGUAUGUCCGAUAAUGAUAAUGAAGCAGGAGCAUCAAGGAAAAACUUGAUGGAGCAAGGUAUCAGACUCCUACUAGAACCAGCUAUGAAGAAGAGCACAACUCAAAACAAGUCUGUGUUUCUAGCUCGACUCGGUUUUACCAGAGAGGAGAUAUUGUCAGCAAUGAAGGAGGCUCACUCCAGAGAUUUUGAGACUGUGCCAGUAACAUUUAGUGCCCUGUGAAGGAAAUUCGCGUUAGUCCCCCUUUUAUGGGCGGAAACAAAACCAGUGACAUGAUGUAACUGUUUUCUAUAAGAAUGAAUAGAUAAAGAUUAAAGAUGGGUUGAAAGAUGAUUCGGUUUUGCACAAGAAUCAAGAACUACCAUAUUCAGAACCGGAUUUUGAUAUGAUUAUUAAUCCGUGAAAUUAUUACUGUUCCCAACAUUACUUAAUUAGACUUGGUUAUUUAUUACAUUGACAGAUGGAAUUAUAGAAACUUUUUGGUGAUAGAAUUUUCAAGUUUCUAAUUUGUGUAUUCCAAUAUAUUUUA